ACGGCCCUGAUUUGCUUCUCUGUUGCAACUUGGCUUAAAGAGGUUGUCUCAGCCCAGCUUAGAGGAUGUUGAGCUUGUCUCCCGCACGCUGUGUGUGAGGUACCUGAUCUCUGGGCUGAAUUGUGUGCUGUGUGUCCCUGUGAGUAAAUAUGCUUGAAAUUGGAGAAAGAUCUAGCCUUUUGCAUGGCUACAUGUCGCACAGAACAUGGAACUACAGCAACCUGAAAAUGAGAGAGCCAUUUUAAAAUGCAACACUGAAUCAGGAAGUGUUGACUUGAAGAAUGGAAUGGAGUGACAUCACUGGGGUAUCCCAGUCACAUUUGGAAGGACCCUGAACGGAUGGGAGGUUUGCUCCGGGGGGUACUUCCUGUCAAUGGGGUCAGGUGGCUGACGGGGGAGUAGAAGCACUUCCUGUACAUGCAUGAGGGCCUCUUCUCCAAGACUGUGAAAUAGAAACAGGUGCAUUUUGGGUUAUGAAUAACCAUUGAUUUUAAAAAUAAAUGAAUAUAGACUUUAUCAGCUGUUUAAAGUGUCCUUCAGCAAUCUUUCCUAUGUUAAAUAAAUACAGUUAACUAACACAACUGAUCUGUGUAUAUUGAGCAGGAUGUAUGUUUAAAGUUGUUUGCAUUGUCAUUGUUACUUAGAAGUAAUUUGUGUAAGAAUGUUCAUGGCACUGUGGAGGUCAUCUCUGUUGCAGCUUUAAUUUAAUGUUCUGCCCAAGACACUCCAAAUACCAAUCGUGUGUGCAAUUAAAAACAUGAAAAUCUACACACAGUUAAUACUGUAAUGGAACCUUUUUACAAAAUAAAUAGAUUAAUGCAAUUCUGUUCAUGGCACUUCAGUUUUGAAUUUUGUAGACUUGAUUGUAUUUAAUUAUAAUAGUUAAUUUGAAGGUUAAAGUGGAAAAUGAUUAGAAUCAGUGAAUUGGUACUGGCAUAAAUGUGAAUAUCAUCUUUGCAAGUACUUGCUGACAAACAACAUGUUCCAAACAUUAGACAUUUUUGUCUUUAUUUAGGUAUAUUGUUCAUAAAAAUAAAUCCUCUGAGAGGAAAUACCAUUGCUGAGAACUGAGUUAAUAAAUAUCUUGCAUAUUAGCAGUUGUAUUUACUGAAGACUACAUUUAAUAUAUCAUGUUGAUCUGAAAACAAGCGCGAUACAAAAAUAUAAUAAUGUAAUUACACAAUUUGGAGAGCACAUGCACACACACACACAGACACACUCUUGCACACACCCACACAGACACACACACACUGCACUAGUGUACACAAUGCAACAGAGAGGCACACAAAAAAUGGGGAACUAGGAAACUCUCUUUCAGAUUCAGUUCCCCAUCGGGGGCCUGUGAAUGACUGUUGUGGGUCUGUGCACUUGACACGAAUAUUAGGCCUUGCCAAGCACAGAGACGCCAUGGGGAGGGGAGAGGGUUCGCCUAGCUUCCCAGAGAAAAUAACAGAUCUUCUUCAGAGAACAGGGAGGAAAACGCUUUGGUCAGCACCACACAUAACUGUCCUUUACCCAGACAGGAGCAAAACACUGAUAUAGUCGCUGGGGCCUAGUGGACUGAGAAACACGUGUGUGUUUACAACAGAAGCAAUCUAAGAGAUAAAUGAAGGAGAAAGUAAUUUUAAAAAUAUCUCGAAACCACCUGAAACAGGAUACAGAUUCAUGUUUUUGUGUUUUCUUUUCCAGUUUUGGAUUUUGAAAUAGUUUUUAAGCUCAUUAUGUUUAAUAUACUGUUUCCACAGUAGAAUUAUUGUAGUCUUGCGGGCUGAUUCUUUUAGAAAUAAAAAAAUGGACAGAAUGUACAGUGCUUGAGCACUUUUUAAUAUCCUACUUUACAAUAUUAAAUAAAAUUAUUUUGAAUUAGAAAAUCAAA